UAGCAAUGAUGUUAAACAAUUCCUUCACCUGAAUAGAAAGUGAAGAUAGAAAAUUACUAUUCUCGAGCCUGAGCUGU